GAAUUACCAUCUUAAUCCUCUUUUGCUCUUUUGUUUAAGUAGACUUCAAGUGUUUGUUUGACAGUUAGGAAAGUUUGUUUGAAAUUACAAUAUUUGUAUCAAAAUUUAGGUUCUAGAUGUUAUUAGAGCCUUGGAAUAUUAGAUCUUGGAACAAGCAAUUUGGAUCAAUUGCAGUAUACAACACCUUUUAAAUUAGCACUGUUAGAACUGCCUUGUUGUUUAAUAGUCUUGUCUUAUUUACCCCAGUACACUCUUAAUACAUGAGUUUGAUUAUUCCUGGACACAAAUAAAAUGGAUUUGUUGAGGAACAAGGCAGUUCUAUACAGUGUUGACUUAUAGGGGGUUGUAAACUUCAGUUGUUAUUUGAUUAUUUUGGGAAAGAGAUUCAGCGUUGUUUUUAACAGCACAUUUGAACUUCGGAACAAAUAUUGUGAUUUUAAAUUAUAACUUUUCCAAGUUUAAAACAAACAGUUGAGGUCUAAAUAAGCUAGCAUAUUGUCUUCACAUUAUUACAAAGUGGAAUUGUUUGAAUACGGAUGAACUGAAGCAACAAGCAUACAUAUACUGUAUACUCAAAUUUGGGCUAAUGCAAGGUGAUAAAGCUAAAAGAAAAUUGAUGUCACACACAGCAAAGUAAACCACAACCAGACGAAGUUGAUGUUUUUCGGAAUAUGUUUUGAUUUGUGGCAAAGAAAAAAAACAAUGAAAAGUAUUCAAAAGUGUAUAAUUGUUUGGUAAAAUUUCGUUACAAUUUCAUAAAUAAAUACUUUCCGCUAUUAGAGUUUCAAGAUUGACUUCAACAAAGUAAGUUAACACUAAUGCAAGGAAAGCUAAUAUAGAUGUUUGAUGUUUACCAAAUUAUUCAAUGAUAGUAGAAUUGCAGAUCAGACCUAAUGCAUGGCAUAAGUAGCGAUACAAUCUCAAAUGGUUGGUGCCAUUGUAGGCAUCAAUGAUUAGAAACAUUAGUGAUAUGUGGGAAUUAGAACCACAUGAAAAAUAUAAGCAGAUAAAUAGUUAUGCAAAGCUCACACAUACACAAUCUGAGCAAAUUUGAAUCAAAAUUUGUUAGUCUUUAUGACAAACUAUUAUACAGUAAUUUCACUGAAGUCAAAUGCCU